rnacentral:tRNA from 1 species
GUUAUAUUGGCAGAUUAGUGCGAUAGAUUUAGAAUUUAUUUAUGUAUUUUUACAUAUAACA